UAGAAAUCAAACAUAAAAAUAGAAUUACGAUUCAAUAUAGAACAUAUAAACAAUCAAAAUAAUUUUAUGUAUAUUAUCAAUCAAAACAGAAUUAUCCAAACAGAAUUAUAAAUAUAUAUGUUUGGGUAUGGGUUCGGAUAUUAUCCAUAUCUGUAGGUUCGAGUCGGGUUUGGAUUUGGAUUUGGAUAGAAAACAACACUAUCCAUAUCCUAUCCAUGUUCGUGCUACAGUUUUCGGGUUUUACUCAAAUCCGAAUUCAAAUUCGAUUAAAUCUUAUUUUUCGGAUUUGAUCGGAUUUAGAUAGGAUGUAUACUCAUCGGGUCGGAUCGAUUUUGUCAUUUCUACGCAGAUUGCUUCUCAUGAUUUGGGUGUGGGGGUAUGAUUUAUUCUUUGUCAUGUCUGGAGCCAAAUAGAUACGGCAAAAGAUAUGAAUAUUUUCUGACUUUAGAAGAUCUCGGGCUGAGGAACUUGUUCCUAAUAGGAAAAAUAUCUAUUUCUACGUAUUUGUUACAUAUUGGGACCAUUUAAAUUCGUGGGUGUUAUGCAUUCAUCCAAGCAUUGCAACAUCCACCAAUUGGUGGGGCAAUUGUUGCAUGCACCACAUGUUGUUCUGAGGUCACCCGUAUCUUUUAUCGCACCUUUUUAGGAAAAUCAAGGAGACUCAUCCGUCAUGUCAACUAUAUCUGAGCUUAAUAUCUGAGCUAUUAUAUUGGCUAAGAUGAUCAUAACUUUUGCCACUAAGAAUUGUUUAUGAGGUUUUUGCGCUUGCUAUCAUUGUCAACUUUUGAAAUGACGAGGAAUGUCUGCUUCUAAUUAUCUUCCAAAGUACAUCAUUUUUAUAACCUAACUACAAUUACUGCUAGUAACUUUUAGGGAAAGAAGUAAAGGAACGAGACAACCAUAAGAAUUUGGAGUUUUAAUUAUGAUUUAGAGAAUGCUGUGAGGAUGAAGGAAAG
rnacentral:lncRNA from 1 species